rnacentral:lncRNA from 1 species
GGGUGUUUUGUAGCAGAAAUCUGUAUUUGGUUAGUACUUUUUCUUCAGGUAAGUCUAGGCACAUGAAUUCCUUUCUAAAAAUAGUUCGUAUUUUUCUCUUCCGCCAAUCUUCAGCUUCAUUUAUCUACUUACUCUGAAUUAGUCCUGGACAGUACUCUAUGUUAAUUUCUUGCUUGGGGAUAUGAUUGUGUGUGUAUAGCCAAAUUUACUAGGUGUAUAUUAAUUCAUCAUGAUUCUCUGCUGCUUCUUGAUGGAAUGCUGCACCCUCAAGGCUGGUAAUAGAUUGAUGAAGGCACAUUUCCCAUGGAAAUAGUGGUUUCUCUUUUCUCUCUGUCCAAUAUAUAGCUGAAUUGAGUACAAGUAGCGACAAGAGGGGUUGCUCUGAUGGUAAGCCUCUCCUCUGUACACUAUACAGCUGAAUUGAGUAUAAGUAGCAUGUGUUAUACAUUCUUGCUUGAUAUGGUUCAUUUCGAUAGUUUAAGGUAAAUAGAGUACUUGUUACUUGUUUUAAGGACAAAGAAUCUCUUACUUUACUGGGUCUCUCGCAAGUGAGGCUAAGAUCUCAGAGGCAACAGAAACCUUCUCCAUUGCAUACAAGUUCCUGCUCUUUUCUAUGUCUAAAGAGUAUGUAGACAAGAGGGGUUGCUCAGAUGGUAAGCAACCCCCACUUCCAACCGAGAGGUUGUGAGUU